AACGAACGCUGGCGGCAUGCCUUACACAUGCAAGUCGAACGGUAACGCGGGGCAACCUGGCGACGAGUGGCGAACGGGUGAGUAAUGUAUCGGAACGUGCCCAGUAGUGGGGGAUAGCCCGGCGAAAGCCGGAUUAAUACCGCAUACGACCUACGGGUGAAAGCGGGGGAUCGCAAGACCUCGCGCUAUUGGAGCGGCCGAUAUCAGAUUAGGUAGUUGGUGGGGUAAAGGCCUACCAAGCCUACGAUCUGUAGCUGGUCUGAGAGGACGAGCAGCCACACUGGGACUGAGACACGGCCCAGACUCCUACGGGAGGCGGCAGUGGGGAAUUUUGGACAAUGGGCGCAAGCCUGAUCCAGCCAUGCCGCGUGCGGGAAGAAGGCCUUCGGGUUGUAAACCGCUUUUGUCAGGGAAGAAACGCUCCGGGCUAAUACCCUGGGGUAAUGACGGUACCUGAAGAAUAAGCACCGGCUAACUACGUGCCAGCCGCCGCCGUAACAC
rnacentral:rRNA from 1 species